rnacentral:rRNA from 1 species
AUUGAACGCUGGCGGCAUGCCUUACACAUGCAAGUCGAACGGCAGCACGGGGCAACCUGGUGGCGAGUGGCGAACGGGUGAGUAAUGCAUCGGAACGUGCCAUUGAGUGGGGGAUAACGUAGCGAAAGUUGCGCUAAUACCGCAUAUUCUGUGAGCAGGAAAGCAGGGGACCGCAAGGCCUUGCGCUCUUUGAGCGGCCGAUGUCAGAUUAGCUAGUUGGUGAGGUAACGGCUUACCAAGGCGACGAUCUGUAGCGGGUCUGAGAGGAUGAUCCGCCACACUGGAACUGAGACACGGUCCAGACUCCUACGGGAGGCAGCAGUGGGGAAUUUUGGACAAUGGGCGCAAGCCUGAUCCAGCCAUGCCGCGUGAGUGAAGAAGGCCUCGGUGU